AUCACUCCACUUGCUUGCAGGAGAAGUAUUGAAUGGUUAAAAAGCUAUGGAUUCCUGGAGAGUUGAAUUCCAAAAUAGUGGAGAUUCAAGCUCAAAUUCAAGAGAAUUUUUCAGGCUUAUCCUUUGAGAAUUGAGGGUUUGAAGUGGGGGAUCAAAGUUGGCGUGAUUGUGUAUUCAUUUUUGAGUAAUUGAAGCUCUAUUUAUAGCUGGAAUGGUUGAUAAUUGCACACUCUCUUUCACUUUCUAAUUUUGGCAAAUGGUGAUGUAAUGGUGCG
rnacentral:lncRNA from 1 species